CUCUUGGCUCGAGCAGAAACCGUUGGCAGAAACAAAGCGUUUAAAAUUUGAAAAGUGGGUCUGGAGGUGAAACGUUGGACUGAAUGGCCAACUUCAGAAAAUUCAGCUUAUUGGAGGGUGAGAUAAUCACAUGAAGAAAGCUCAGGGAAGAAGCGAGCGAGGAUGAAUCAUUGCCUGGAAUUGGGGCUUCCAAGAGAAAAGGGAACUGCACAAGGAGGAGAACAAGUCUUCUUUCUAUUCUGUUCUCAGCCUCACAUACUUCAAUAAAUCGUCCCAAACCAACAAUGUCCAGGCUUCCUGAGAAGGAUGCAGCAGCAGGAGCAUGAGAAAACUGUCACUUGCAAGCUCCCCUCUGAAUCACACAUUCAUUGUGCCAAUUUGAAGAGAUUUUGCUCGUUCCUUCAUCUUCAUUGUGUCAUAAACCUGGAACUCUCUCCCUAAUGGCACAGUGGGAACUUCAUGUGAUGGGACUGAAAUGGUUUGAGAGGAAGGUCACCACUAUCUUCCCAAGCAGGACACGGAUGGACAAUUAAUGCCGACCUUACCAUUUAACACAUCUCAAGAAUUAAUACAACAUUGCAAAGAUUAGACACCUCCCUUCACUGCUGUUACAUUCAGUAGAUUGUGUUUUAUAUGGAACGCUGUUGUUGCAUUAACAGGUCCUUUGCAUGUCUAACAGCAUCUUACCAGGAAGAUGCAGGUAGAUACCAUGGGUGAUGGGUUAACAUUCCUCCCACUGGGCACCUGUUCUCUGUUGGCCACAGUAAAUGUAACAAAUAUGGAGCUCUAGUUUCAAGUUCAACCCCAAGACUCAUUAACCAUGGAACGUGCAUUCAUAAUGCAACCAAACAGAUCAACCUGCAAAUCCUUCCAACAUGGCUAUGGAAGGUGGUUGGAGUGAGAGACACCUGGUCAGUCAUGAUUGAUGUGGAGUGGUACCCUUCAAGCACUAACUUCUGGCUUCAGGCUAGUGACCUAAAGGGGAAAAAAAAACACAUUUACAGCAAUAGACAGAAGUGUGCAAUUCAUCUGCCUCAUGUGUUUCCAGAUGAAGGAGGGAUAUAAAGAAAGAAGAAGGAAAUGAGACCAAUGACAACCCAGUGGAUCUUCCAUGUGUCCUCACUAAUCUAAUAGAGGAUCAAAAUAAAGUGUCUGAUUGAAAUUCUGAACACAUACACAACUCAGCUCAAACUGCAUCCAUGAAGAAGUUCAAUGUGUUUUCAACACUGAAACAAAGUCAAUAGAACAAGAGUACAUGAACACCAACUGGCUACAAAAAGACAUGACCAAUACUCACUCAUGUCAAUCCACAUGGACAAGGAGAACCACCACUUCGACUGGGACAACACCAAGAUCCUGGGACAGGCUAGGCAGAGACAGAUACGAGAAUUCCUAGAAGCAUGGCACUCCACAAAGCAUACUAUUAAUAAACACAUUGAACUCGACCUCAUAUACAUUCCACUACGAAGGAAAACCGGAAGUGAGGUAAUCCAUCUCAACGGACCCCAGAGUUUAAAAAUCAGGCGAGAAAACACACCAAUGCUUCACUGGAGGCUGCACUGAGGAGGUUACCAAACAUGGUAACGAAACAUCUGCGAAACAAGAAACCAUCUCGGCAAGCCAACCAACCUCAACAACCUCAAGAAGUCAAUAGAAAUUGGAUGGAGUCUUCCUUGUUGUGCUGUGUGUUACGAUGGGGAAUCAAAGGGAAAAUCUGUUUAAAAUGUUAAAUAAGAAUUAACCAAAUGAGCCUAACCACAGGUAUGAAGAAGUUCAAUGUGUAUUCAAAAUUGAUGACCCAAUGGCGCACUCAAAGGGUGUGAGAAUUAGAUCCCUGACACGUUGGUGAUGGAUCUGUAGAAAUCUAAACUCCUUCUUGGGAUGUGCAUAGACCUUCCAGCCAUUUCCAGCACAGUGCCACCUGCAUGUCAUGUCGUCCUCACAUGUCUCUCCACCUGUGCCAGAAGGAGCUGAAGUCUGAAGGGCACAAAAUGCAAAGGGACUAUCUUCCCAUUCCCCCAAUCCUGCCCUGCUUGCUGGAGGCACCUUAUCCUGCAAGAGAAAAGAUAAAAUAUGUAUAUGCGUUCAGCCCUGUAAUUGACCAUAGUGUCAACCAUAAUUGUAUAGCUGGAAACCACGUGUGGAGUCAGCAAGGGUUCGGGGUAUUGGCAGCAUUUAUAGGUGCCGUCUGACCUGUGAGUUUCCAGCUCUUUAUGUCCAGGAAACAUCUGCUGUGAAGUUGGUCAAGGGAUAAAUAAUGAAUUUUGGCCAUCAAGACUUUCUCACUCUGAGGAAUUGCACAGCCUCUAUGAAUUGAUUAUUCUCUAUGCAAAUUCCCUUGUGUCCCUUUUUGCUGGUCAUAUUUUGAGACUCUUAAAGAUCCUUUUGACACAUGUUAUUCUAUCUUAGGCUUAUGGAAAAUGUAGUCAGGAUGCUCUAGUCUGCUGAGUGACCAAACAUACUUACGAAUUUCCCUAAAGACUCCACACCCUGUGAAUGAGGAAGUUCUGGAAAUUUAUUUUGCAUGUGUUUUGUUUACACAAUUCUAUUAGUGUGUAAAUAGUAUUCUAUAUAUGAGGGAGUCAACAACAACCAUUGCUGAGCUGUUUUGAAACUAAUUAAUUCCUCCUUAGAACUGGUUUUGGUUUCGUAAGCGACAGCAGCAAAACUGAAGCGCUUGGAUUUUAAUAUUCUCUUUCUGAAAUAUUUUGAAGAAAAUAAGAUGAGGCGCUCCUAUUCCAGAUAAUGAUCACUUUCUUCCUGAAAGCCACAAUAGAAUCUGUCUCCACUUCUCUCUCAGGCAGUGCAUUCUGGAUCCUAGACAACAAGGUGCAGAGCUAGAUGAACACAGCAGGCCAAGCAGCAUCAUAGGAGCAGAAAGGCUGACGUUUCGGGCCUAGACCCUUCAUCAGAGUCCUAACCACUUGCUGCAGAACAAGUUUUUUCUCAUAUUGCUAUUGUUUGAUUUACAAACCUCCUUAACUCUUGUCAGUCUUUCUUCCAUUGGGAACAGUUUCUCCCUCUCUACGUUGUCCAGCACCCCUCAUGAUUUUUAACACCUCAAUCAAAUAUCUGCUCAACCUUCCCCUCUCCAAGGAGAAUAUCCUAACUUCUUCAAUCUAUCCAAAUACCUAUAAGCUCCUCAUCUGUGGAAACAUUCUUGUGAAUCUUUUCUGCACUGCCACUAAUGCCCUUCCUAAAGUGCAGUGCCCAGAACUGGACACAAUACUCCAGUUGAGGCAGAACCAGUGUUGUAUAAACAUUCAACAUAACCUCCUUACUUUUAUAGUCUAUGACUCUUCUAUAAAGCCCAGGAUUCCAUCUGCUUUAGUAAUCACUUUGCCACCUGUCCAAUGACCUUUAAUGAUUUUAUAUAUACAUGCACAAUUCCCUCUGCUUUAGAAUCAUCCCCUUUGUUUUAUAUUGCGUUUCCUCAUUCUUCCUAGCACAAUGUGCAAUGUAAAGUCUUAACUCCACCUUAGAAAUACUUUACUUCUACUUGUUUCAGAUAGCUUAGGAAGAAUGUCCAAGUCACUGAGAAGGGAGUGGAGAAGGGGAACUCACAAGACAGUGUCCAAGGCAGGAAGGGCUUAGAAAUGAGAGGCUGAAUGGUCUUUCCCUGUUCCUACAAGAUGAUGGAGAGAUAUGUGGAAGAAUGUCUCAUGACCAGAACUUAUGGACAAAUACCAAGAUGUAGCUUGCCUGAUGGUGAGGAAGACCUUUCCCAUCAGACGCUUUCCAUAUGUCUGGAGCCUCACCCCCUCCUCCCUUUCCCUGGAAGUUGCUGUGAUGGAGAAUGGGAUAUUGUCCACCUGCUGGUGGAAUGGGUGUUUGCAAAGAAGACCUGGAGAUAGAGACAAUGUUUCUUGUCAAGUUCAGUCAAAGUAACUCCAUGAAGCAGCAUACUGUACUCUUUGAGUGUUAGCCAAGGACACACAUCACGUUAAACAUCAACUGUGUCUGGAGGACCAUCAAUUCAAUGAAAGACACUGAGAUAACACAGCGUGGAGCUGGAGG